UUUCAUUCACUUAAAAAAUUCAUAUCUCAAUAAAUAAUGAUCCAAAUGACCUGGGAAUUUUUGCAUUGUUCUCCUCAUUGUGUCUACUAUUUUUUGAGCAUUUUUCCAGAAAUUGUGAUUUUUAUUUUUCAUUCACUUAAAAAAUUCAUAUCUCAAUAAAUAAUGAUCCAAAUGACCUGGGAAUUUUUGCAUUGUUCUCCUC
rnacentral:lncRNA from 1 species